rnacentral:lncRNA from 1 species
CGGACGUUUAACGGAUAAAACGGAUGUUGAACGGAUGAGAAACGGACUUCUACCGGACGUAUAAUGGAUAAAACGGAUGAUGAACGGAUCUGAAACGGAUAAAUACCAAUUGAAAAUUUCACGUGAGAAAUGCCAAUUAUUGGUAUGUCAGAUUUCUUAAGGUUCAUGAAUUCAUAAUUGAUCUUAGAGUAUAGGCACGCCUUCACAAUCAAGCAGUUCUUAUUCAGGCCAGACACUGCCCUUUGGCGGAAUUUUGAAGAACAAAGCAAAACCAGUUACACAGAAAC